rnacentral:rRNA from 1 species
GACGAACGCUGGCGGCGUGCUUAACACAUGCAAGUCGAACGGAGCGAAUGAAAGCUUGCUUUUAUGAGCUUAGUGGCAAACGGGUGAGUAACACGUAGACAACCUGCCGACAGGAUGGGGACAACAUUCCGAAAGGAAUGCUAAUACCGAAUGAAGCGGAGGAGAGGCAUCUCUCUUCCGUGAAAGAUGGCCUCUAUUUAUAAGCUAUCACCUGUCGAUGGGUCUGCGUCUGAUUAGCUGGUUGGUGAGGUAACGGCUCACCAAGGCGACGAUCAGUAGCCGGUCUGAGAGGAUGAACGGCCACAUUGGGACUGAGACACGGCCCAGACUCCUACGGGAGGCAGCAGUGGGGAAUCUUCCGCAAUGGGCGCAAGCCUGACGGAGCAACGCCGCGUGAGUGAAGAAGGUCUUCGGGUCGUAAAGCUCUGUUGACGGGGACGAACGUACGGAGUGCGAAUAGUGCUCUGUAAUGAC